UGGGGAAUUUUGGACAAUGGGCGAAAGCCUGAUCCAGCAAUGCCGCGUGUGUGAAGAAGGCCUUCGGGUUGUAAAGCACUUUUGUCCGGAAAGAAGUCCUUGGCUCUAAUACAGUCGGGGGAUGACGGUACCGGAAGAAUAAGCACCGGCUAACUACGUGCCAGCAGCCGCGGUAAUACGUAGGGUGCAAGCGUUAAUCGGAAUUACUGGGCGUAAAGCGUGCGCAGGCGGUUUGCUAAGACCGAUGUGAAAUCCCCGGGCUCAACCUGGGAACUGCAUUGGUGACUGGCAGGCUAGAGUAUGGCAGAGGGGGGUAGAAUUCCACGUGUAGCAGUGAAAUGCGUAGAGAUGUGGAGGAAUACCGAUGGCGAAGGCAGCCCCCUGGGCCAAUACUGACGCUCAUGCACGAAAGCGUGGGGGAGCAAACAGGAUUAGAUACCCUGGUAGUCCACGCCCUAAACGAUGUCAACUAGUUGUUGGGGAUUCAUUUCCUUAGUAACGUAGCUAACGCGUGAAGUUGACCGCCUGGGGAGUACGGUCGCAAGAUUAAAACUUAAAUGAAUUGACGGGGUCAUA
rnacentral:rRNA from 1 species